ensembl:lncRNA novel transcript
UUUCCCUGGGAGGAGUUCCCUGUUUACCCUCCCUUGCUGGGGAGAAGGCAGAGCAUCGCAGGGGACUUGGCCUCACAAAGGACACAGUGAGAUGAGUCCUUCAGGGCAGGGCUGCCAGGAAACAGCCAUAGCUUUGCUGGAAGAGGGACAGGAGACAAUGACAAUUGAUCGAAGCCUCCAGCCCCUCCUGGGAGAGUUUGGCUGUUUCUUUGGCCUUGUCCUGAUCUUUCCUGGACUCACCUCUGUCAUCCAGCUGGAUUUGCAGUGCUGGCUCAAAUUGCUACUUGAAACCAGGGCCAGACCAGGCAUGUGGGCACCUCUGGCGAGCUUGUAACUUGACAUGCCAUCAAAAUAAGGCACUUUAAAUGUUUGCACAAUGAAAACUUACUAGGGCCAGACAGAAAUGACAAACAGAUUUCCUUUAUUAUUCCUUUUCAUUGGCCAAGCAAUUCAUGUCCAAAAAAAUUUUUAAAUCAAAAUAUCUAGUAAAACAUGCUCCAUUAUUUUCAAUAAUUCUCCUUCUCUUAAGAUAUCUUUCCUGUAGUUUCUUAAAGGAGGUAACUCUUAGGAGGCAUAUCCAAUAAUUUGAAAUAUAAACAACAAAACUCAUUCUUAAUUCAUAGCACCACAUUGUACUUUGUUUCCAAAAUUUCUACUGGCCUCAGCUGUCAGCUUUUAGCAUAUGUAAAUGCACGUGAACACAACUAAUGCUCAGAGAAGGAUGGAAAUUCUACCUAAGUGAGAAAAACGAAUGGACUCUUCUUCCUUCCUUCCUUCCUUCUUCCUUUCUUCCUUCUUUCCUUUCUUCCUUCCUUCCUUCCUUCUUCCCUCCCUCCCUCCCUCCCUUUUCUCUUUCUUUCUCUCUCUGUUGUUUUAUCUGCUUGUUUUGUUUGUUUGUUUACGUACUCCAGGUCUUACCCACCAAGGUCAGAGUAACAGUCAUUUAUACCCACACAGUAAGGUGAGGAAGGGUUUGGGGGACCUGAGUUAGCCAGGUAGAUAUUGGUGACAGUUUUGUGCCAUCAGACAGCUGCCCAGCAGGCACAUCCCCUUCUUUAUCUGUUUUAGAAGAAUCUUCCUCCCUUUCCUUCCACUCUGGCUCCCACCCUCACCCAUGACUCUUCCUCUUCACUCUAAUUCUUGGACAACUGUGCACAGUCUGGGCAUGUCUCCUAUGAUGAGUUCCUGAACGCAUUCUUGCUACUUCAACAGCUAUAAAGUGUGUGUUUGGGAAGCAGGAAUGUUGGAUACCUGGAUUCAAACUCGCCCAGCCUGAAUCCAGGCUCAGCUUCCUCCUAGCUGUGUGGCCUUGACAAGAUGGUGGGAAAGAAAGGGGCCAGAGAACACAAGAGACAAGCACCCCCGCUGUUAAGGCCUCUUCGUUCCAGGGUUGGAAGGAAGACGCUCCACAGCGAUCUUCAGGGCAGAGUCACCCUGCUGUUCUGACAUCCAUCAAGCCGGGCCUGACUUCUCAAGAUUGCUGGCUGUCCCAAGAGAGCAGGUGGCAUAGGCAGUAUCCACAGGUCCAACUCUCUCCCAGGAGAAGAGAUUCGAAGCAGGGAUCUGCCACCUUUCUGACAAGCAAAGGAAGCAACCAAAGCCUGCAAGGAAGACCAAACUGUCUACUAGAAUAAUUAAGGUCAGAAAGAUCACAAUUCCACCAAGGAGAGAAAACAUAAAGACCCUUGAAAUACCUGCUGUGAUUUGGGAAAUGAUUUUGUGUAGAUUUUCUAGUAGGAAAAUCCAUGCUGAGAUGUAGAGAGAAGAGAAUUAUGAACAGAAAAAAAACAUGUGUGACUCGCAAGGUAGUGGCAAAGAUAAUUCUAGUAAACAGGGUUAAAAUAAUAGAAGAGCUUUUGACUAAUACACCCGGGGAAAAGAGAUACUGAAGUGAAAACGGGUCCACAAAUAAAUCAGGCUGGGCAUGAAAUUAAUGAUGGGUCUGAAAUGGCCGAGAUAUUGAACUCAUUCUUCAAACCUGUCUUCCGCAAUAGAAAUGAAAAGAAAAAUACAGACAAUGAGGAAGCGAUAGAAACCUUCUGAAAAUAACUCCUGGCACAAGCAGAAGCACGACCCCUCGGAACAUCUAAGUGCCACCCUGAACAGGUGUAGACAUGCCCCUUGGGGGAUAUGAGGAAUUGAUUAGGAUCUACUGUACAUUUAGAAUAGUGUCUGAAAACGGCAUCAUGGAGCUAUUAUUGUUAUUUUAAAUAAAUAAAGUUAGAGAUGGUUCUGAAAGAA